rnacentral:rRNA from 1 species
ACACAUGCAAGUCGAGGGGCAGCAUGGUCUUAGUUUGCUAAGGCCGAUGGCGACCGGCGCACGGGUGAGUAACACGUAUCCAACCUGCCGUCUACUCUUGGACAGCCUUCUGAAAGGAAGAUUAAUACAAGAUGGCAUCAUGAGUCCGCAUGUUCACAUGAUUAAAGGUAUUCCGGUAGACGAUGGGGAUGCGUUCCAUUAGAUAGUAGGCGGGGUAACGGCCCACCUAGUCUUCGAUGGAUAGGGGUUCUGAGAGGAAGGUCCCCCACAUUGGAACUGAGACACGGUCCAAACUCCUACGGGAGGCAGCAGUGAGGAAUAUUGGUCAAUGGGCGAGAGCCUGAACCAGCCAAGUAGCGUGAAGGAUGACUGCCCUAUGGGUUGUAAACUUCUUUUAUAAAGGAAUAAAGUCGGGUAUGCAUACCCGUUUGCAUGUACUUUAUGAAUAAGGAUCGGCUAACUCCGUGCCAGCAGCCGCGGUAAUACGGAGGAUCCGAGCGUUAUCCGGAUUUAUUGGGUUUAAAGGGAGCGUAGAUGGAUGUUUAAGUCAGUUGUGAAAGUUUGCGGCUCAACCGUAAAAUUGCAGUUGAUACUGGAUAUCUUGAGUGCAGUUGAGGCAGGCGGAAUUCGUGGUGUAGCGGUGAAAUGCUUAGAUAUCACGAAGAACUCCGAUUGCGAAGGCAGCCUGCUAAGCUGCAACUGACAUUGAGGCUCGAAAGUGUGGGUAUCAAACAGGAUUAGAUACCCUGGUAGUCCACACGGUAAACGAUGAAUACUCGCUGUUUGCGAUAUACGGCAAGCGGCCAAGCGAAAGCGUUAAGUAUUCCACCUGGGGAGUACGCCGGCAACGGUGAAACUCAAAGGAAUUGACGGGGGCCCGCACAAGCGG